AAAAAGUCGUCUUUUAAGGGUAACAAAGUUUUGAGUUUUCUGCUAUUCAACACGAUUUACAUCAAAAGAAACUACCAAUUACAGUAAGCUAAGGAAGAAGACGACAGUGAAAUCAUGAAGUACUUCAAAAUCCAACCUUCAAAGAACUUACCAAUUAAAUCACGAAAAUAGAAGAAAAAGAAGAAACCUUCAAAAUCAAAACCCAACUGGCAGUAUCCGGAGCCGGCGCCGGCAUUCGUCUUCCAGCAACGGCUAACUCUGUACUUUAUUCAGCAAGGUAAAUUUGAUCAAACUCAAACCUAUACUAUAAUGCGGAUCAGAUAUGAUGACGAUGAGGAGGAAAACUUUAUAUGUUUCGAUUCCCCGUGGAGAUUGGUCGGUCUGCUCACUAGACUUCCCGACUUCGAAACUUUUUUGUUUCAAGAACUUCAGGUGCUUUUUAUGUUAAAUUUCACUGUUAUGUUAUACUGCAAUGUGUUUUUAUGCAGUGCAGAAAUACUUUUUUUUUUUUUUUUUUUUUAUCUUUCCACAUUGCUGGGUCUGAUAAUUUAAUUAUGGCCCAGAGUUUCGAAAUUUUUCUUGACGUUGAUUAUUGGUUUUGCGUAGUCUGAAGGAAGAACUAC
rnacentral:lncRNA from 1 species